rnacentral:misc_RNA from 1 species
UGUAGGAGCCGGCUUGCUGGCGAUGGCGACCGCAGGGUCAACAUCUAUGUUGAUUUUGAGGACGCUAUCGCCAGCAAGCCGGCUCCUACA